AAGAUUUAGACCUCAAGGGGAAAAAAGAGAAGAGAAUUAGAACCCAAAUCCACAUCUGGCCUGACAAUAUGUCUAACCCUAAGCUCUCUGCCCACCGAAGUGCAGGGUUGGAGGGCGGGGGGUGGGGGGGGGUGGGGGCGGUGCGCCAGGGGCGGGAGAGCAGCUGGUUGCUCCCUCCGAGCUGCCUUUCUGGUGACAUCACUGACAGCAGAGGCGGCGCCCACGUGGGGCAGGGCUGACCGCAUCUGGAUCCACCCAGAGUGAGGAAGGAGAAAGGAUGGGGCUUCUGAAGGGAGCCGCGGUUCCUGCUUUGACUCAGCUGGGAACCUCUCAGGACCUCUUCUCCCCUAUUGUGAGUAAGCCUCCUCUGCGGGGAAAGGGUGAAGAGGCUGCUCUCCAGCCCGGCUGCUGGCAGCUGGUUUCCCUGCUCUCCCACUGAUUGGUGAUGUUCUCAUCUGUUAAAUUGGAAGAAGAGCAUUUGCUUCAUAGGAUCUCUGGGAAGAUUCAAAGAGACAAUGCAGGGACCACUAAGGCCAAGAGACCUCAAGCCACAUACCCAGUGGAAGAGCCAGGAUGCAUAUUCACAGGCUGGCCCCAGAGUCUGUGUUCUUAACCACUACCUUAUGUAUAAAUAAAUCCCUGUGGAUAUAUUGUGUUGCUGCGCUCAAAAUGCUCUAGUGAUGGGAAUCCAUGAUUUAAAAGUGUGGGGACUACCGCCCUG